rnacentral:rRNA from 1 species
UAAUACGUAGGGGGCAAGCGUUGUCCGGAUUUACUGGGUGUAAAGGGCGCGUAGGCGGGCUAAUAAGUCAGAGGUGAAAUCCUGCAGCUUAACUGCAGAACUGCCUUUGAUACUGUUAGUCUUGAGUUCGAAAGAGAGAGAUGGAAUUCCGGGUGUAGUAGUGAAAUACGUAGAUAUCCGGAGGAACACCGGAGGCGAAGGCGAUCUCUUGGUUCGAUACUGACGCUGAGGCGCGAAAGCGUGGGGAUCAAACAGGAUUAGAUACCCUGGUAGUCCACGCUGUAAACGAUGAAUACUAGGUGUUGGGAAAUAAUCUCAGUGCCGCAGCAAACGCAUUAAGUAUUCCACCUGGGGAGUACGAUCGCAAGGUUGAAACUCAAAUGAAUUGACGG